CGACUGCGUGAAGCUGGAAUCGCUAGUAAUCGCGGAUCAGCAUGCCGCGGUGAAUACGUUCCCGGGCCUUGUACACACCGCCCGUCACACCACGAGAGUUUGCAACACCCGAAGUCGGUGAGGUAACCUUUAUGGAGCCAGCCGCCGAAGGUGGGGCAGAUGAUUGGGGUGAAGUCGUAACAAGGUAGCCGUAUCGGAAGGUGCGGCUGGAUCACCUCCUUUCUAAGGA
rnacentral:rRNA from 1 species